rnacentral:snRNA from 1 species
GUGCUCACUUUGGCAGCACAUAUACUAAAACUGGAAUGAUACAGAGAUUAGCAAGGAUGACACACAAUUUUGUGAAGCGUUCCAUAUUUUU